UCAGGAGCAGAUCCUCACCCUGUGCUUCAGUUCUGCUUCCUCUGUCUGGAAAUCAGAUUUACAACCGAACUCAUUCCCAGCACUUGACCUGAAUAAUCACUACUAACCAGUGCAAGGAGAACGUCGCUGUCACUUUAAGAGCUGUCUGCCUUUCUGGAUUUUUCUUUCCUCGCUCCUUUUUGUGGUUAUCUCAGCAAGGGCAUAAAAUGAGGCAAAUCUCCUGCUGGCCAACAAGAUAACAGCAAUGCAUGAAGAGAAGGCAGACGUCAACAGAAACCAGCUGAUACAAAAAGAGAAAUCAAUGGAGCAGUCAUCAUGAAUACAAAAUGAGCCAAGAAACAAAAGUCACUCAAGAUUCAAAACUCCAUGGCAAUAUUGAUGAAAAGACUCCACACACUUUAUAAUGGACUAAACUGGACUUGAGAAAUCGGACGACCACCAUUUUGUCUACUUUCACUAUGAAGAGUAAUGCUUUCCAGCCAUCUGCUUGCCAACAAACACACUUCAUUGGAUGCAAAUCCAUAAAGGCCUGCCUGCCCGUUAUAUCCAAGUCACACACCCAUCAUCGGAUUUACAACAUCAUAAAACCAAGCACGCGCUUUGCAGUUGCGCGUGGAAAAAACGGUGCCUUACAGCGUAUUACGUUAUUAAAGAUGAAUCAAACCGAAA